CGACCCAAACCCGACUUAACCGAGCCCAAAACAGCAUGAACGGGCGGGUCGGGUCGGAUACAUUGUAACGGGUCAACCUGUCAAGGUUCCAGUUGGGUAUAAACGGUCGGGUUCGGGUUGAUUUUUUAAAACCCGUCGAAACCCAACCCGACCCGUAUUAUUGGAGAAAAGCAUGUGCAGUGGCAGAGUAGUUCACGUCUCACUCCAUCCACACUUUAUAUACUCUAUAAAAAAAGGAAAACCCUAACACUCCUCACUUUCUCAGUUCCUCUCUCUUGUGCGGCGCAUCUCACUCAAAGACACAAAGAGAAAACCUACAAUUUCUCCUUCCUCCUUCUUGAUUUUUCCUUCUUGUUCCUUCUCUUCCACCAAGCUGUAGCGCCCUUUCACUCAUUUUUGGUCCAUAUUUUCUCGUUCCUCUCUUGAAGUUUUAGAAGUCUGCAAAGUUUUCUUUCACUAUGCAUGUGAAAGCUCAUACCUUUCUCCCUUUUCCCCCAAAAGAUCCCUCAUUUUUAAGCAACAACAAGAAAGUUUGGUUUUCUUACUACUAUAUUUGCUAUCUUGUUUUAAAGAUUGUUUCUUUUCAUUAGCUAACUCAACAAUGAAGCCAAUGACCACAUUCAGCAUUCAGUGUAGAAAAGAAAGAGGAGAUCGAAAAUCUUGCCAAACAAGUUUGAAAGGAGCUUGAAGCCAGAAACUUAAUGGGAUGAUGAUGUUAUGCUUGUUUCAACUUGUAAAAUGAUUAUUAAUUUGUAUUUGAUUGGGAUUAUUAUUUUAUGUGAUUUUUGUAAGUUCAAAAUUGUUGUGCAGUCAAAUGAAGUAAUUUUAUUCGGCAUUUUUGGA